rnacentral:misc_RNA from 1 species
AGGAACGGCAGGUGCAUGCGAGAGGCGGGGCUCGGGGGCGGUAACUGAGCAGUGCAGACCGAGACCCAGGCCCAAGUGGAGGGAGGGCUCGAGAGGCUGCAACUAAAUAUAGAGCACACCUCGUCUUCAGCUCAAGACCGGCCAUGGAAAAUAUGAAAAAUGAAGUAGAAGAAGGAUGCCUAGUGGCUGGAAAUUCACCUGAAGUUCAUGAAACACUCAGUCUAAAGUCUGCAUCUUCUGAUGAUGAAUCUUUAAGAUCAAGGACUUCAAUUAAACAACACCUUCAGCAGUAUUUGCGUUCCACUCCUUGUCAGGUCUUACUGGUUGGCUUAGUGAUUGUAGACACACUGUUGGUCAUCACAGAAUUGAUGUUGGAUCUAGCAUUAAAGGAUCCAGAGUCACCUCUACCAUUUGUCUUCCAUGCACUGUCCUUGAGUGUGAUGAGUAUAUUCAUGGUGGAAAUUGGACUCAAGAUUUAUGCAUAUCAGUUGGAAUUUUUCACUCAUAAGGGAGAUGUGUUUGAUGCAGUUGUUGUGAUUGUGUGUUUUUGUCUGGAUGCUGUCUAUCUUCACUCCCAUGAUGCUCAUGCUGGUGCUGGCUUUAUGAUUGUGCUGCGACUGUGGAGGGUUGUCCACAUUCAGCGUGCUAUUGUAUCACAAAUAAAAUCAUCAGGAGACAAAAAGUUAGUGCAAGAAAAAGAGAAGAGGUACAGAGUUGAACAGGAGAUUGAGAGAUGGCGUACCACUGGCUGUGCUCAGGAGGCAUAUAUAAAAUAUCUUCAAGAGAUACUGAAGAAAAACAGUAUUUCAUAUACAGAAUACAGAAGCCCUCCUGACAGUACAAGCAGGCAAGUAGCGGUUGAGGUGACUUCCGAGUAAGACAAAGGCUUCAAAUGGUCAACUGAUACUAUCACCAAAUUCAAAGAGUACAAAACAUUGGUCUGCUGUACCUUCCGUGAAGAACUCAUCAGAUCAAAGAAAAAUAACAAGUCAAAGCUCUGGAUUCCUGCCAGCCAGAAGGAUUCCAGCUGCUCUUCUAACAACAUUGUCACAGCUUCUUUGACCUCAUCAUCAUGGAACCUCUGCCUCAUACAAUGAGGAAUUGAGCUGGCAGAUAAGGUUAGUAGUCACUGGGUGCCAGGUCUAGACUGUAGGGUGGAUGAUUGAGCUUGCUGAAGCCAUUCCCUCAGAGCAGCGUAGGCAUGGUGGGCUAUUUGGACCGGAACAUUGUUGUGGAGGACGACACCACGAGUCAAUUUGCCCCACCUCUUCUGACGGAGAGAGUCCCUCAAGAGACUGAGUAUGUACUCCGGUGUCGUACUUCCUUGUGAGCAUAAAUCUGUGCUGCAGAAAAUCCAUCAGCAGCACUCCCUCAACAUCCCAGAUGAUGGUGGCCAUGAUCUUGCCUACCAAUGGUUGGGUUAAAAAUUUGAGCAGUGUUGGGGAUCUCUUUGUUUCCAGACCAUGCUUUUGAACAUUAUCUCUAGGAUCCCAGUGGUGAAGAUCACGACCUUCAACCCAGAUUAUGAUGGGUCUGAUUAUAUAGAGUUAGCAGUUCCUCUGAACUUGUGCAGCACUGAAAGCGAUCAUGUAGAGAAAGAUUUUAGGGCACUCAAUAAGCAGAAAUUUUGUUCAUGCUCAGAUAAUGAUGAAUAAUGGUACAAACAUCUUGAAAAAUUUCAAUCUCCGACAAAAUUUCUUCCAUCUUUACUGAUAAAAUCUCCAUAAUUAUUGCCUCCUCACGAUCAAGUGUCUUCAGAGGUCGCCUCGGAGGGAUGUCCUACAUGAGGGUAAUUUUCAAGGGACUCAUGGCCAUAAUGAGCUGGUGACUGUGACAUGGAGAAGUGCAGUGUUGCUGUACACUGAUAAAAUUUUCAUGGAUGUCCUUCACAUUCUUCCCAUCUUUUGUCAAGAAAAUGAUUACUACACAAUACUUGAUCUUGCCUAUUGUUGGCAACUCUUGCCAACUGCAUCCAUUGUUUGCUCUCCUAAGACAGAGAAGGAAGUGAGGGAGUGUAGUAGCACUGUUUGUGAACAUGUCAGAACCUGUCCUAACCAGGCACAAGACAUAACUGGUUGCACUGACUAACAUACUGAAUUGCAGAACUUUCUCACUGCCUCUCUUAUACACUAAUCACAUUGUUACUACUAAUACUGUAUUAUUGUUGAUAAAAUUCUCUCUCUCUCUCUCUCUCUCUCUCUCUCUCUCAUUCCUUACCUCUGACAGAUAAAGGGGAGAGUAAAUGAUAAGGAGGAAGGCUUGAGAAGAGGAGAGGAAGAGAUAUGAAAAAGAAAAUAAAUUAAUGCAAGAAACAAUGAUAAUGUGUAGGUAGUAAUAGCAUGAUACUUUUGUUACAGCCAUACAAUUCAGAGGAAGCUCUCAUAAAAAGAGAGAGAUGAAUUAAUAUUAUAAAACAUUCAAUGACAAGGAUAUAUAUCUAAUCUUCUUGGGUAAGAUUUAUUGUCCAAUUAACAACUUCUCUGUAAGGCAGUGCACAAUAUACAUAACAUAAUAAAUUCUUCAGAAAUUAAAUGGUCUAAAUUUCAACUCUGAUAUGCAUGAGUACAAGCAGCAUUUCAGCAGCCUCUAGUGAUGGGGGGUAAGAUUCACGACAAUCCCAUUAUCUGGGACACUUAAAUUAUGAUAAUAAUAAUAAUAAUAAUAAUAAAAAAAACUAACCUCUAUCACACAAUGAAUAUAAAAGUAAUAUACUACUUUUAUACCACAGAGCUUAAAAAAUAAACACGGAAAGUAAAAUUUGAAAAAUAAUGAUAAUGAAUGAAAUCAACAUUUAUCAUGUACUCUGUUUUAUCUAGGAUACAAAGCCAUCUGUAAAGCAUUCUGUAUAAAACUUAGGAAACAACAUUGUUUUCAAGCAUAAUGAAGCUUCAUUCUUGAAGGCCUGCACUGAAAAGACCAAUCAUGAAGCAGGCAAAACUGCUAUGUAAAAUGAUGAGAAAACAAGUAAAGAUAAUAUGCAAAUAAACUGCAAGAAGACAAAACUCUUAAGUUAAUGUAUCAUAGAUCUCUGAGGCAAGUGUUCCAUAAUACACAGUGAUUAGCUGUACAUGGAAAAAAAUAAAUAAAUAAAAUAAAAUAAAAAAAAUAAAAAUAUCACAUUUGAUAAAUCAUGUUAUCAACUUUGGUGUGUGUGUGUGUAUGUGUGUGUGUGUGUGUGUGUGUGUGUGUGUGUGUGUGUGUGUGUGUGUGUGUGUGUGUGUGUGUGUGUGUGCAUACAAGUGUAAAUAUAUAAUGAUAUCAUCUGAAACUAACAUGUAUUUCACUUUAUAUAAUCAGACACAUAACACAAAAAUAUAAAUAAAUAAAUGCUAUAUCUAUUAUACACACCAUGGGCAUUACCUGACAAAGAGAAGCAUUAUCAACAGUGGGUACUGAUACUGAACCACCUAUCACCAUCACAUAACACAGGGAGGAACUGUAGCUGCUGUGGUUAUCGGGUUAACAAUGUGUCAUGCAUCAUGUACAUAGGAAGAAACAAUUUACAAGAAAGAUACACAAGUCAUUUCCUUGCAUAUUUACAAUUACAAUAAAUAAAUUUACUCGGACAUGAAUAUUAUUUUUAAGGAGGCAAUUUCAAGAGGACUCUCAGUAUAGUUUAUCUUUCUGUUUAAGUACUGUAAAUAUAUGAUACACAAAUAUAGUUUACUUUGUAUACUAAUUCUCAUAAUUAUGUUUGAUAAAUUGGUAUUUGCUGUGCAGUGUGUGUGUGUGUGUGUGUGUGUGUGUGUGUGUGUGUGUGUGUGUGUGUGUGUGUGUGUGUGUGUGUGUGUGUGUGUGUGUGUGUGUGUGUGUGUGUUAAUCAACCACAUUAUAUUUGUCUGUAUUGUCUACUGAACAGAAAACAUACUUUUUUUUGUCAAUUUCUCCAACCUUAGCACUUAAAAUGUGUGUGUGUGUGUGUGUGUGUGUGUGUGUGUGUGUGUGUGUGUGUGUGUGUGUGUGUGUGUGUGUGUGUGUGUGUGUGUGUGUGCGAGACAACCUUGAUAAUAUAACAAUAUUGCCUGUAAAGCACUAAAAUAUAGUUUUGAUCAAUAAGAA